GACGGGGCCCGCACAAGCGGUGGAGCAUGUGUUUAAUUCGAAGCAACGCGAAGAACCUUUACCAGGUCUUGACAUCCCGAUGCUAUUUCUAGAGAUAGAAAGUUACUUCGGUACAUCGGUGACAGGUGGUGCAUGGUUGUCGUCAGCUCGUGUCGUGAGAUGUUGGGUUAAGUCCCGCAACGAGCGCAACCCCUAUUGUUAGUUGCCAUCAUUCAGUUGGGCACUCUAGCGAGACUGCCGGUAAUAAACCGGAGGAAGGUGGGAUGACGUCAAAUCAUCAUGCCCCUUAUGACCUGGGCUGCACACGUGCUACAAUGGUUGGUACAACGAGUUGCGAGUCGGUGACGGCGAGCUAAUCUCUUAAAGCCAAUCUCAGUUCGGAUUGUAGGCUGCAACUCGCCUACAUGAAGUCGGAAUCGCUAGUAAUCGCGGAUCAGCACGCCGCGGUGAAUACGUUCCCGGGUCUU
rnacentral:rRNA from 1 species